UGUUUUUAUGAAAUUUUUCAAUUAUGUCAACAGUCAUCAUAGAGUCACAGUCUCACAUCAAAUAGAAAGUUUUUUGUGACACCUUUAGUCUACUGUAUCUUAAUGUUGUUGCACAUGUGGGCUACUGUAAUGUUUGAGGAUUAUGUUGAUCACUAUGUGCAAUCGCUCUGCAGUUUGGUAUUCCUGCCAUCACAUCUGCUGUAGAAAAUGCUUUUGGCCUUUGACUCAGCUGGGUUUACUGACACUUGAUUAUGGAAUAAACCAUUUUUAAUAGCCCCAAAAGAAGCAUGACCGAUGACAUCAAUGCAGGUUGUUGACUGCCAAACUGCCCAAGCAAUAAAAGUUAAUGUCACAGUAUUGUUGCAGUAGGUAUCAUUAUUCUUGGUUGAUGUUGUUUUUUAAUACUUACACAUGGGAUUCUCAACAUGCCAGUCUCCUCCAGAACACCCUUUUUGUUGCAGAGCACAACAACAACAACAACAACAAACCCCCUAUCACACUUACUGCCAUCACUGCUGCCAGCAAGGCAGGAAGAGAGGUGUCAUGACUAAUAGCUGGAUCUCCUCUCUUGUCUGCUAAGCUGGAUGUGGCUACUAUUUCAGACAUCACUGAGGUCAAAUCCCAAGACGCUUUUUUGUCCCGACCAUGUGCUGCUGAGCCUCUUGUUGUCAUAAAUGCAGUAAGUGACGUGAACAAUGACAAUGUAAAGAGGACUUAGGAAAGGCACACCAACUGCACAAAUACCACUUGAACACCAUCCAACUAUUAGCUCAAUGUUCUUUUUAUUAAAUGAUCUGUCUUUGCUACAGUUCCCUCAAGGAUAAGUUAGAAAGCAUCAUAUGACAACUUCUCAUAAUGAUAUAUCAUAGACACAGCCUGAUUAAUUCUAGAAGCAUGCAUUAAGCGUGGUUCACUUAAUCACCCAAACCUUUUGGCAACGUUUUGAUGGUGAUGUCGUGGCUUAUUUAUGCAUGCUGUAUUGUAUAUAGCAUUUCCCACAAUACAUGGCCUGCCCAGAAGAA